GCAGUUUGCAUUGCAGUCAACAGUCGAAGAAGGUGUGGGCAGAAGAAAAAGCUAGUGAUCAACAGUGGCAAUGGAGCUGUGGAGGACAGAAAGCCAAGUGGACUCAACGGAGAGGCCAGCAAGUCUCAGGAAAUGGUGCAUUUGGUGAACAAGGAGUCGUCAGAAACUCCAGACCAGUUUAUGACAGCUGAUGAGACAAGGAACCUGCAGAAUGUGGACAUGAAGAUUGGGGUGUAACACCUACACCAUUAUCUUGGAAAGAAACAACCGUUGGAAACAUAACCAUUACAGGGAGCUGGGACACUUAACAGAUGCAAUGUGCUACUGAUUGUUUCAUUGCGAAUCUUUUUUAGCAUAAAAUUUUCUACUCUUUUUGUUUUUUGUGUUUUGUUCUUUAAAGUCAGGUCCAAUUUGUAAAAACAGCAUUGCUUUCUGAAAUUAGGGCCCAAUUAAUAAUCAGCAAGAAUUUGAUCGUUCCAGUUCCCACUUGGAGGCCUUUCAUCCCUCGGGUGUGCUAUGGAUGGCUUCUAACAAAAACUACACAUAUGUAUUCCUGAUCGCCAACCUUUCCCCCACCAGCUAAGGACAUUUCCCAGGGUUAAUAGGGCCUGGUCCCUGGGAGGAAAUUUGAAUGGGUCCAUUUUGCCCUUCCAUAGCCUAAUCCCUGGGCAUUGCUUUCCACUGAGGUUGGGGGUUGGGGUGUACUAGUUACACAUCUUCAACAGACCCCCUCUAGAAAUUUUUCAGAUGCUUCUGGGAGACACCCAAAGGGUGAAGCUAUUUAUCUGUAGUAAACUAUUUAUCUGUGUUUUUGAAAUAUUAAACCCUGGAUCAGUCCUUUGAUCAGUAUAAUUUUUUAAAGUUACUUUGUCAGAGGCACAAAAGGGUUUAAACUGAUUCAUAAUAAAUAUCUGUACUUCUUCGAUCUUC
rnacentral:lncRNA from 1 species